rnacentral:rRNA from 1 species
UAAUACGUAGGGGGCGAGCGUUGUCCGGAUUUACUGGGCGUAAAGGGCGCGCAGGUGGCCUGGUCAGUCCGUCGUGAAAGCCUCGGGCUCAACUCGGGGUGGUCGGCGGGGACGGCGAGGCUUUAGAGGCCGGUAGAGGAGCACGGAAUUCCCGGUGUAGUGGUGAAAUGCGUAGAGAUCGGGAGGAACACCAGUGGCGAAGGCGGUGCUCUGGGCCGAGCCUGACGCUGAGGCGCGAAAGCGUGGGGAGCGAACCGGAUUAGAUACCCGGGUAGUCCACGCCCUAAACGGUGGCCACUAGGUGCGGGGGGUAUCGACCCCUCCCGUGCCGUCGCCAACGCAUUAAGUGGCCCGCCUGGGGAGUACGGCCGCAAGGCUA